UUGAACGCUGGCGGCAGGCCUAACACCUGCCAGUCGAGCGGAUGAAGGGAGCUUGCUCCUGGAUUCAGCGGCGGACGGGUGAGUAAUGCCUAGGAAUCUGCCUGGUAGUGGGGGAUAACGUCCGGAAACGGGCGCUAAUACCGCAUACGUCCUGAGGGAGAAAGUGGGGGAUCUUCGGACCUCACGCUAUCAGAUGAGCCUAGGUCGGAUUAGCUAGUUGGUGGGGUAAAGGCCUACCAAGGCGACGAUCCGUAACUGGUCUGAGAGGAUGAUCAGUCACACUGGAACUGAGACACGGUCCAGACUCCUACGGGAGGCAGCAGUGGGGAAUAUUGGACAAUGGGCGAAAGCCUGAUCCAGCCAUGCCGCGGGUGUGAAGAAGGUCUUCGGAUUGUAAAGCACUUUAAGUUGGGAGGAAGGGCAGUAAGUUAAUACCUUGCUGUUUUGACGUUACCAACAGAAUAAGCACCGGCUAACUUCGU
rnacentral:rRNA from 1 species